UUUUCCACAAUGUCCGAAAGGGUGAUGGAGCAACGCCGCGUGGGUGAUGAAGGCCUUCGGGUUGUAAAACCUUGUCAGGUAGGAAGAAGGGUCUAUUGAUUAAUAGGCAAUAGAUUUGACGGUACUAUCAGAGGAAGCCUCGGCUAACUCUGUGCCAGCAGCCGCGGUAAGACAGAGGAGGCAAGCGUUGUUCGGAAUUACUGGGCGUAAAGAGCGUGUAGGCGGGUAGGUAAGUUAGAUGUGAAAUCUCCUUUUGCGACGAGGAAACUGCAUUUAAACUGCUUGACUAGAGCUUUGGAAGGGAAAGUGGAAUUCCCAAUGUAGCGGUGAAAUGCGUAGAUAUUGGGAGGAACACCAGUGGCGGAGGCGACUUUCUGGCCAAAAACUGACGCUGAGACGCGAAAGCUAGGGGAGCAAACAGGAUUAGAUACCCCGGUAGUC
rnacentral:rRNA from 1 species